AUUGAACGCUGGCGGCAGGCCUAACACAUGCAAGUCGAGCGGUAGAGAGGUGCUUGCACCUCUUGAGAGCGGCGGACGGGGGAGUAAUGCCUAGGAAUCUGCCUGGUAGUGGGGGAUAACGCUCGGAAACGGACGCUAAUACCGCAUACGUCCUACGGGAGAAAGCAGGGGACCUUCGGGCCUUGCGCUAACAGAUGAGCCCAGGUCGGAUUAGCUACUUGGUGAGGUAAUGGCUCACCAAGGCGACGAUCCGUAAAUGGUCUGAGAGGAUGAUCAGUCACACUGGAACUGAGACACGGUCCAGACUCCUACGGGAGGCAGCAGUGGGGAAUAUUGGACAAUGGGCGAAAGCCUGAUCCAGCCAUGCCGCGUGUGUGAAGAAGGUCUUCGGAUUGUAAAGCACUUUAAGUUGGGAGGAAGGGUCGUUACCUAAUACGUGGCGAUUUUGACGUUACCGACAGAAUAAGCACCGGCUAACUCUGUGCCAGCCGCCGCAGUAACAC
rnacentral:rRNA from 1 species